rnacentral:rRNA from 1 species
GACGAACGCUGGCGGCGUGCCUAACACAUGCAAGUCGAACGGAAAGGCCCUGCUUUUGUGGGGCGCUCGAGUGGCGAACGGGUGAGUAACACGUGAGUAACCUGCCCUUGACUUUGGGAUAACUUCAGGAAACACGGGCGAAUACAGGAUAGGAGCUCCUGCUGCAUGGUGUGCGUUGGAAAGUUACGGCGGUUGGGGAUGGACUCGCGGGUUAUCAGCUGGUUGGUGGGGUAGUGGCUUACCAAGCCUGUGACGGGUAGCCGGCCUGAGCGAGUGACCGGCCACAUUGGGACUGAGGUACGGCGCAGACGGCUACGGGAGGCAGCAGUGGGGAGUAUUGCACAGUGGGCGGGAGCCUGAGGCAGCAGCGCCGCGUGCGGGAUGACGUCCUUCGGGUGGUAAACCGCUUUGGCCGGUGACGAAGCGUGAGUGACGGUAAUGAAUAAGGAAGCACCGGCUAACUACGUG